UGGUGACAAUAGCGUUUUGGACCCACCUGACCCCAUGCCGAACUCAGUAGUGAAACGAAACAGCGCCGAUGAUAGUGU
rnacentral:rRNA from 1 species